rnacentral:rRNA from 1 species
UGGAAGUGCUCGCAAGAGAACCGGAACACAGGUGCUGCAUGGCUGUCGUCAGCUCGUGUCGUGAGAUGUUGGGUUAAGUCCCGCAACGAGCGCAACCCUUGUCAUUAGUUGCUACGAAAGGGCACUCUAAUGAGACUGCCGGUGACAAACCGGAGGAAGGUGGGGAUGACGUCAAGUCCUCAUGGCCCUUAUGGGUAGGGCUUCACACGUCAUACAAUGGUCGGGACAGAGGGUCGCCAACCCGCGAGGGGGAGCCAAUCCCAGAAACCCGAUCGUAGUCCGGAUCGCAGUCUGCAACUCGACUGCGUGAAGUCGGAAUCGCUAGUAAUCGCGGAUCAGCAUGUCGCGGUGAAUACGUUCCCGGGUCUUGG